CAUUAUAGAGGCCACUAGUGCUGACCAAGCUGCCAUCUUUCUCUCUUCCCGUCUUUCAAUGGCUGCUUCAAUUUCAGCUUGAACCUCCAAACCGCACGUAAGUAAUCAUUUUUUGUCAUCUUUCCUUGCUGUCCCACUGGACUGGACAUUAGUUUAGUUUUUUUAGCUACAUCUGGUGAAGUUGUGGUAAAAUGCUAGCAUUAGCCUAUUCGUCGUAGCAAGCUAGCCUGAAGCUAAUAUUUGCUAAAUUUAGGGACACCCGUGUCUCUUCAGGAGUUGGAGGCCGGUGUUCUAGGAGCGGAUCUCAGGAUCUCAACAGGCAGUGUUGGGCAGUAACCAGUGUUGGGUUAGCACCUCAUACCACAGUGCAUCAAAGCAGUCUCAUGAGCGCUGGAAAGGACGAGCCCAGAGCCCAAAACAGACAGUGCAGGAGAUGACAAGCUGUCCUGUGCCAGAAGUUCUGUUGACCCACAGUGAGAGGCAUCAUUUCAGAAACACCAGGAAGACUGAAACUCGUCGCCAGGAUCAAGCAGGGCUCGUGAUCUUCACCAGCAGCUCCCUCACAAGAAGGAUAAACCCAGCAUUUCAUGAACACUGAUGGAGACCUUUGCUUUGUGUAAUGUUAGAAGUACUCAGAUAAUCCUCAGAGGGUCUGGACUUUUACAUAAUAGAAUAGAAUAGAAUUCA